rnacentral:rRNA from 1 species
GAUGAACGCUGGCGGCGUGCCUAAUACAUGCAAGUCGAACGAAACUUCUUUAUCACCGAGUGCUUGCACUCACCGAUAAAGAGUUGAGUGGCGAACGGGUGAGUAACACGUUGGCAACCUGCCCAAAAGAGGGGGAUAACACUUGGAAACAGGUGCUAAUACCGCAUAACCAUAGUUACCGCAUGGUAACUAUGUCAAAGGUGGCUAUACUACCGCUUUUGGAUGGGCCCGCGGCGCAUUAGCCAGUUGGUAGGGUAAAGGCGUACCAAGGGAAGGAUGCGUAGCCGACUUGAGAGGUUGAUCAGCCACAUUGGAACUGAGACACGGCCCAAACGCCUACGGGAGGCAGCAGUAGGGAAUCUUCCACAAUGGGCGGAAGCCUGAUGGAGCAAGGCCGCGUGGGUGAAGAAGGUCUUCGGAUCGUAAAACCCUGUUGUUAGAGAAGAAAAGCCGUGAGAUUAUCGGUUCACGUUUCGACGGUAUCUAACCAGAAAGCCACGGCUAACUACGUG